rnacentral:rRNA from 1 species
GUCCCUCCCGAGGGGCAACGUGCACGCCUCGUCUCUCGUCUUCAUCUAUCAACCCCUGKGCACCUCUGCGUGGGUCCCCACCUCGGGGGCUCGCGUCCUUUCACCACAAAACACAUUCGUAUGUAUCGGAACGUUAUGAUGAUGAUAUAAACUUGUACAACUUUCAACGACGGAUCUCUUGGCUCUCGCAUCGAUGAAGAACGCAGCGAAAUGCGAUAAGUAAUGUGAAUUGCAGAAUUCAGUGAAUCAUCGAAUCUUUGAACGCACCUUGCGCCUCUUGGUAUUCCGAGGGGCACGCCUGUUUGAGUAUCGUGAAAUCGUCAACCCGAUCCCUUUCGUGAAAACGAAGGGAGAGGGCUUGGACUUGGAGGAUUUGCUGGUCCCCCUGCCUGGGAAAUCGGCUCCUCUGGAAUGCAUUAGUGGAGCUUUUCGACCGCCCUCGGUGUGAUAAUCGUCUGCGCCGACGUGCGGAAGGAGUCAAAGCGUCGCUUCGAAUGGUCUCGUCCCCGAGACAAGCUUUUUGAACCCAUCGAUCUCAAAUCAGGCGGGACUACCCGCCGAACUUAAGCAUAUCAAUAAGCGGAGGAAAAGAAACUAACAAGGAUUCCCCUAGUAACUGCGAGUGAAGCGGGAAAAGCUCAAAUUUGAAAUCUGGCGGUCUUUGGCCGUCCGAGUUGUAGUCUGGAGAAGCGCUUUCCGCGCCGGACCGUGUACAAGUCCUCUGGAACGGGGCGUCGU